GACGAACGCUGGCGGCGUGCUUAACACAUGCAAGUCGAACGGAAAGGCCCUGCUUUUGUGGGGUGCUCGAGUGGCGAACGGGUGAGUAACACGUGAGUAACCUGCCCUUGACUUUGGGAUAACUUCAGGAAACUGGGGCUAAUACCGGAUAGGAGCUCCUGCUGCAUGGUGGGGGUUGGAAAGUUUCGGCGGUUGGGGAUGGACUCGCGGCUUAUCAGCUUGUUGGUGGGGUAGUGGCUUACCAAGGCUUUGACGGGUAGCCGGCCUGAGAGGGUGACCGGCCACAUUGGGACUGAGAUACGGCCCAGACUCCUACGGGAGGCAGCAGUGGGGAAUAGUGCACAAUGGGCGGAAGCCUGAUGCAGCAACGCCGCGUGCGGGAUGACGGCAUUCGGGUUGUAAACCGCUUUCGCCUGUGACGAAGCGUGAGUGACGGUAAUGGGUAAAGAAGCACCGGCUAACUACGUG
rnacentral:rRNA from 1 species